rfam:Moniliophthora roreri strain MCA 2952 kmer90.92724, whole genome shotgun sequence.
GGGCACAUGGUGUAGUUGGUUAUCACAUCCGCUUAGCAUCCAGGACGGUCAGUAGGGAUAUAUAAGCUCUGCGGGGGGUGCUGGGUUCAAUUCCCAGUGUGUCCA